GCAAUAUCAAAAUGAAUUUCUCCUUAAGACGUAAGGUUCUUACUUGCGAUGCAGAUGUCAACACAGCGCAACCAGGAAGUGACGUAUUAAAACGCCACGUCAUCUUUUCCUGCUCCAAAUAAUAACAGCGCCACUCAGUGGAAACAUUAGAAAUGGCAGAGUUGUGUCGCCAUCUCUCUUUUUAAAUGGCGAAACAGUUUAGGUGAUAUCAAACUAAGAUGCGUUUGUUGAACUAUGUUUGUAUAUUGUUUUCCGUUAUUCAUUGCUUACCUGCUAAAUGAAGGCGAGCACCUGCGUGAAAACUGAACAUAAACGACUCAAGACGUCACCAAAACCACAAGACAAAGGCACUGGAACAGGGUGUUUUCCUACCUGUUGGCGGCGCUGUUGAACUAGAAAUGGACUGCCCAAGCAGGACACAUGAAAGAUUCCAAGACAAAGAGUCAGCGAUGAGCUGCAAAAAAAGAACCUGGGAGAACAGGGAUGAUGCAAUUGGAACGAACAUCUCACCAAAUCCUCAGUCAUGUCUGUUCAUCUUUCAAAGGUGUUGAACAGCUGGACAUAAACCUGGAGCAAAGGAUGUGGAUCUAAACUGCAAAAGAGCCGGCUUCACUUCACCAGCAUCUCUUACAUGCUCACCAAAUGUUGGAAAACAAUAAAAA